GGAUAUGAGGGCAAUCUGGCUGCGACUUCUGUCAUCCCAUUGAUUGCCAGGGUUGAUUCAGCUGAUCUCAAUGGCUAGGCAGGUGUCCCCUUCCUCCCUCACCUAUCCAUUCACACCCCUCCUAAAGCAGUGGUUCUCAACCUUCCUAAUGCCACGACCCUUUAAUAUAGUUCCUCAUGUUGUGGUGACCCCCAGUUUCAUGUUACAAAUUGAACAUAAUUAAAGCAUAGUGAUUAAUCACAAAAACAAUAUGUAAUUAUAUAUGUGUUUUU
rfam:Myotis brandtii contig311629, whole genome shotgun sequence.